rnacentral:rRNA from 1 species
GUGAGGAAUAUUGGGCAAUGCCCGCAAGGGUGACCCAGCAACGCCGCGUGGAGGAUGAAUGUCGUAAGAUUGUAAACUCCUGUUAGAGGGGAAGAAUAGUACCGGUUGGACCGGUAUAUGACUGUACCCUCAGAGAAAGCCCCGGCUAACUACGUGCCAGCAGCCGCGGUAAUACGUAGGGGGCAAGCGUUGUCCGGAUUUACUGGGUGUAAAGGGCGCGCAGGCGGGAUAAAAAGUCAGUGGUGAGAUCCUACAGCUUAACUGUAGAACUGCCUCUGAUACUUUUAUUCUUGAGUUCGGGAGAGAGAGACGGAAUUCCAGGUGUAGUGGUGAAAUACGUAGAUAUCUGGAAGAACACCAGUUGCGAAGGCGGUCUCUUGGUCCGACACUGACGCUGAGGCGCGAAAGCGUGGGGAGCAAACA